rnacentral:rRNA from 1 species
UACGGAGGGGGCUAGCGUUGUUCGGAAUUACUGGGCGUAAAGCGCACGUAGGCGGCUUUGUAAGUUAGAGGUGAAAGCUUGAUGCUCAACAUCAGAAUUGCCUUUAAGACUGCAUCGCUUGAACGUCGGAGAGGUGAGUGGAAUUCCGAGUGUAGAGGUGAAAUUCGUAGAUAUUCGGAAGAACACCAGUGGCGAAGGCGGCUCACUGGACGACUGUUGACGCUGAGGUGCGAAAGCGUGGGGAGCAAACAGG